rnacentral:rRNA from 1 species
UGGGGAAUAUUGGACAAUGGGCGAAAGCCUGAUCCAGCAACGCCGCGUGAGUGAAGAAGGCCUUAGGGUUGUAAAGCUCUUUUAGUAGGGAAGAUUAUGACGGUACCUACAGAAAAAGCCCCGGCUAACUUCGUGCCAGCAGCCGCGGUAAUACGAAGGGGGCUAGCGUUACUCGGAAUUAUUGGGCGUAAAGCGUGCGCAGGCUGUUAAAUAAGUUGGAAGUGAAAUCCCAGGGCUCAACCCUGGAACUGCUUUCAAAACUGUUUAACUUGAGUGCCGUAGGGGGUAGUGGAAUUCCUAGUGUAGAGGUGAAAUUCGUAGAUAUUAGGAGGAACACCGGUGGCGAAAGCGACUACCUGGCCGGUAACUGACGCUGAUGCACGAAAGCGUGGGGAGCAAACAGG